AUGCCUGGGAGGUCGACCAUGGAAGCCAUUUUCUUGGUACGACAACUUAUGGAGAGAUAUAGGGAGCAUAAGAAGGACUUGCAUAUGGUGUUCAUUGACUUGGAGAAGGCCUAUGAUAAGAUACCGCGGAAUGUCAUGUGGUGGGCCUUGGAGAAACACAAAGUCCCAGCAAAUUACAUUACCCUCAUCAAGGACAUGUACAAUAAUGUUGUGACAAGUGUUCGAACAAGUGAUGUCGACACUGAUGACUUCCCGAUUAAGAUAGGACUGCAUCAGGGGUCAGCUUUGAGCCCUUAUCUUUUUGCUUUGGUGAUGGAUGAGGUCACAAGGGGUAUACAAGGAGAUAUCCCAUGGUGUAUGCUCUUUGCGGAUGAUGUGGUGCUAGUUGACGAUAGUCGGACGGGGGUAAAUAGGAAGUUAGAGUUAUGGAGACAAACCUUGGAAUCGAAAGGGUUUAGGCUUAGUAGAACUAAAACCGAGUACAUGAUGUGCGGUUUCAGUACUACUAGCUGUGAGGAGGAGGAGGUUAGCCUUGAUGGCCAGGUGGUACCUCGGAAGGACACCUUUCGGUAUUUGGGGUCAAUGUUGCAGGAGGAUGGGGGUAUUGAUGAAGAUGUGAACCAUCGAAUCAAAGCUGGAUGGAUGAAGUGGCGCCAAGCUUCUGGCAUUCUCUGUGACAAGAGAGUGCCACAAAAGCUAAAAGGCAAGUUCUACAGGACGGCGGUUCGACCCGCAAUGUUGUAUGGCGCGGAGUGUUGGCCGACUAAAAGGCGACAUGUUCAACAGUUAGGUGUGGCGGAGAUGCGUAUGUUGAGGUGGAUGUGUGGCCACACGAGGAAGGAUCGAGUCCGGAAUGAUGAUAUACGAGAUAGAGUUGGGGUAGCAUCAAUUGAGGAGAAGCUUGUCCAACCUCGUUUGAGAUGGUUUGGGCAUAUUCAGCGCAGGCCUCCAGAAGCUCCAGUGCAUAGCGGACGGCUAAAGCGUGCGGAGAAUGUCAAGAGAGGGCGGGGUCGACCGAUUUUGACAUGGGAGGAGUCCGUUAAGAAAGACUUGAAGGAUUGGAGUAUCGACAAAGAG
rnacentral:rRNA from 1 species